rnacentral:piRNA from 1 species
UUGAAGGCAGGUUUUCAGUUU